rnacentral:misc_RNA from 1 species
GAUGAAGAACGUAGUGAAAUGCGAUAAGUAAUGUGAAUUGCAGAAUUCAGUGAAUCAUCGAAUCUUUGAACGCACAUUGCGCCCUUUGGUAUUCCGAAGGGCAUGCCUGUUCGAGCGUCAUUAUCACCCCUCAAGCCCCCGGCUUGGUGUUGGACGGUUUGGCGGAGGCCCUCCGGGGCCCUUGCCCCUCCCAAAGACAAUGACGGCGGCCUCGUUGGACCCCCGGUACACUGAGUUCUUUACGGGACACGUACUGGAGUAAGGGUGCGCGGGGCACGGUCUGCCUCCCCUCAGGGAGAAUCUUUUUUUACAAGGUUGACCUCGGAUCAGGUAGGGAUACCCGCUGAACUUAAGCAUAUCAAUAAGCGGAGGA